UACAAUGUCGCCAGUUUUGGUGCUCGCAGACAUGUUCAUGUCUGCAGUUAAACGGGAAACACGAAGCUUUACGGCUAACGUGUGCUGCCCCCGCAACGGUAAUCAAGCGUCACAUAUCUGUGACAGGUCGUCUCUUAAACCACUGUGCAUUUGCAUGGGAAGGUGAGGCUAUCGUGCUUGCAAGCCCGGAUACCGGCCAGGACAGGUGGAAAUGC
rnacentral:ncRNA from 1 species